rnacentral:lncRNA from 1 species
AAGCAAAAAAGGAGUGACAACAAAAAAACAAACAUAUACAGAAAUGCCUGUCCCAUACAUAAACAACUAUAAUAUUCUUUGCUUUGAUUGGAUCCCUGAUACUUGACUCUUACAUCACUCCUACUAUCAUACUUCCUGAAGCAAAAAAGGAGUGACAACAAAAAAACAAACAUAUACAGAAAUGCCUGUCCCAUACAUAAACAACUAUAAUAUUCUUUGCUUUGCUGUAAUUGGACUCUCAAUGGUUAACUCUCACAUUAACUCUAACAACACAAUUACUAUUUUUUAUUUUUUCCCAUUACCAUUCUUCCAGAGUGUAAUAGGCUUGGCAGGAAAAACAUGGGAAACAAUUGGUGGCAAUAAAACAAAAUGCCAUACUCCCUUAAUGACAAAUCUUUGUUUACAUUACUAUUUUCUCAGUUUUUGCAAAAAAUACAGUGAAAAUGAAAUAAAAAAAUAUUGUCUACUUUAAUAGAAUUAUGGAAAAUGAC